GGGCUGUGAGGGUUCCUGGCGUGCUGAUUUGUGGCUUAUGAUAAAAUCACAUUGCCAGGGAUUACCACACAGUC
rfam:Xiphophorus maculatus strain JP 163 A Contig1.133, whole genome shotgun sequence.